rnacentral:rRNA from 1 species
UCCGUAGGCGGGUAAUUAAGUCAGAGGUGAAAUCCCACAGCUUAACUGUGGAACUGCCCUAGAUACUGGUUAUCUUGAGUUUUAGUGAAGUAGAUAGAAUGUGUAGUGUAGCGGUGAAAUGCAUAGAUAUUACACAGAAUACCGAUUGCGAAGGCAGUCUACUAACUAACAACUGACGCUAAUGGACGAAAGCGUGGGGAGCGAACAGGAUUAGAUACCCUGGUAGUCC